GACGAACGCUGGCGGCGUGCUUAACACAUGCAAGUCGAACGAUGAAGCACCAGCUUGCUGGUGUGGAUUAGUGGCGAACGGGUGAGUAACACGUGAGUAACCUGCCCCUCACUCUGGGAUAAGCCUGGGAAACUGGGUCUAAUACUGGAUACGACCGAUCUCCGCAUGGUGUGUUGGUGGAAAGUUUUUGUGGUGGGGGAUGGACUCGCGGCCUAUCAGCUUGUUGGUGGGGUAGUGGCCUACCAAGGCGACGACGGGUAGCCGGCCUGAGAGGGCGACCGGCCACACUGGGACUGAGACACGGCCCAGACUCCUAAGGGAGGCAGCAGUGGGGAAUAUUGCACAAUGGGCGAAAGCCUGAUGCAGCGACGCCGCGUGAGGGAUGACGGCCUUCGGGUUGUAAACCUCUUUCACCAGGGACGAAGCUAACGUGACGGUACCUGGAGAAGAAGCACCGGCUAACUACGUG
rnacentral:rRNA from 1 species